AUGGAGUUUACAUUCUAGUGAGUUGAGAGCAAAUCAUUUCUUGACCGUACCUGAGGGACAAGGUCUGUUAGAAAAGGGAAGCCCAUUAUCCACUCUACCAUUCCAAUCUGGCAGUGCUUGAUUCAGUGUGAUAACUUGCAGCAACAUGAUAGGGAUCACAAGGCCACAAGAGUGGGGCAGUGACACAAGAGAGAUGAGUAAUCUGGGCUUUAUGUUUCUCAUCAGCAUUGCUUUGCACUUUGGAUCAAAUCUUGACGUGGAUUGUCAGCCUCUCUUCAACCUCAAAAAGUUCUAGAGGGUCCAGAACAGUGCCUGACACACAGAAGGUGCCCAGGAAAAACUUGUUGACCACUUCACAAUGAGCUCAAAAGGGAAGGACCAGGAGAGGAGGCCCAAGAACUCCUAGCACGAAGCAGAUCAGCCGAGGAUAUGGGGAGACACAACUGAUGUCAUGUGCUUUGGAAAGAGUUAAAUAUCUGGUUUGGGAGCUCCUUAUAUGAACAUUUUAUAAUGAAAGUCUAGGUGUUCUUUGUAGCCAUCAGGUAAACAUUUUCUGAAGCCCUAUUUGCAAAUGGAAUCCUUUGUAAAAUUCCAACUAGAAGAGGUGUCAUUAACCAUGCUCAUUAUGUAUAGAGGAAGAAGUGGGUUUCUUCUUCUUAUCAAACCAUUAUUAAAUAUUUCUCUCCAAAUACACAUCAAUUUUUUUUCUUCAAUGCCUGCUCAAGACUCUAAGUCAAUGUCUUGUGGAGGAAACGUCUGAAAAGUCAAGACUUUAUUCUUCAGCCUGCCUGGCUCCUCCACAUUUGAAAGAAAGAAAUUCGACUGUGCCAAUGAAACAACUUUAGUAAACUUAUUGUUUUCAAUGCUGGAGUUGUAUGUGACCUUUGGAGUAGAAUAGGAUAUAAUUCCAUUUCUCUAGCAGACUGACCGCUUCCUCAUCGUCUUUGAACACUAUGUGCUGCCCCCAGCAAAAGACUGGGAGGAGGGAAAGGAGACUGUAGGCAGCAGCAGAGCCUUUUAAAACAGAGGAGACAAAAGUAAAGAAUUUGCUGGGGCACAGGUAAUCAUACCCCAAUCUGUGGCUAGACCAGCUGGCAGCUGGGCUCACGCCCAGUACACAGGCUAUCAAAACCAAGACAAAAACACCCUUAUAGAACUCAAAUUUUGACUCGACUUUGAUGACAUUAUAAUUUUUCUUCCCCAAUGACAGAGUAGAUUGGGAAAACUGUCUGAACUUCCACUUGAUGUUUGAAUUACCUAAUCCCCUCUCAAAUCACAUAGGAAGAUCUUCAAAUUGUGAAAGUCUGACAAUGGGCCAAGUCAAC
rnacentral:lncRNA from 1 species